rnacentral:tRNA from 1 species
GUUUUAAUAAUUUAAAUAAAAAUAUUGAUCUUGUAAAUCAAAAAUAAUAAACACUAUUUUAAAACU